UCCAGACCCAGGCCACCCGACCGAUCCGGACGACCGGACCAGAGCCGGUCGACGUAUUUUUUUCAAAAAAUAAUUUCUGCCGGUUUCUCCUUGAGCUACUCGCGCGUGCCCACCUCUCCACUCGAAAUUGCGGUUCCAGUCGAUUCGGGGUCCAGUUGUCGAUUCGGGGUCCAGUUGGCCAGGCGAGCGGCGAGCGUAGGCGGCGGCGGCUUCUGCCGGAUUUGCGGCGAGGCUAGGCGGCGGUGGCUGUUCUGCGGCUUUCGUCGGCGACGGAAGGGGCUUUUGAUUUUUGACGGCGCGACCGUCCACGGAUUAGCAGCCCCGAGCCCCCGAUAUCCACCGGCGGCAGCGCCCUGCUCUCUCUCUCCCUCCGUCAGGCCAAGAGCAUCCAGGCGGUUCUCUCUCCUCCGGCGAACAAGCUCGCCCCGGUGGUUAUAUCUCCUCCGGCGAAGCCGGCUCUCCCUCCCCUUCACCUCGGUCGGCGGAGGCUUCGCACGGCUCGACCGUCCAAGGCUAGGAGGGGCCCUCCCGCACCUGCAGCACAACCUCCGAUCUCCCUGAGCUGCAGCCCUGCCGCCGACCGGAGGUCCUCAUCCGCCCUUCACCGCGUGUUUGACGAGCUGCACGACCGCACGUCCUCUUCUACUGUGACGGUUGUUAAAUUGGAUCCGCUAGUUCAGCGGGCUUCCGCUGCUGCUUUAGCUGUCAAAGAUCAUCAAGCACAAUGAGGGUUACAGGGUCCUUCGGAAGGUGGUCUUUGGUUACAUCUUGAAGCUCAUUCUGCUGCCGGUGAUGCUACAUCGCCGCCCGGUGCUCGUGAGACUGCAGUCUCUUUCUCCCCGCCUCCUCUGCAGGUUCCACCACGGGCAUCAAAUAACCCUAGAAAGAGGAAGGAAACAGUAGCAGAUUUGGGGGUGGUUAAUGAUGAUGAUGAUUUUGUUCAAGUUCCUCCAAAACCACCGGCGAGUUCCUCCAAGCCUCCCAAAACUCCUGUUCAGAAGGUUAAGAAGUCCAAAUCCUCAGUUGCUGGUCCCAAACCUUUCCGAGGAAAUGGAAAUUAGAGAGCUGGAUUUAAAGGCAAAGGUUGACGAGUUAGCAAGGAGCAACAGGCUACUCAACAUAAAGCAUCAGCAACUACUUCUGAAGCUACUGGAAAUGCUCUGCUAGAAGCUGAAUCAUUUGAUUAAUUAAUCUCAAGUCAAAAGACUUGGAAGAGAAGAAGGGAGAGUUGAACAGAAAUUAUUGAAAGACAAAAUGCAAAGCUUGGAGAAAGUAUGGUCAUUGGUUGAAGAAGAAUCUUUGAAAAAUCCGAGCCUGGUACAUUUCGCCAUGCAUAUCAACCUUUUUAUUCACUAAUGGUAUUUUCUUCAUCUUUAGUUGCAGAAGUAUAGGCAGCAUAGGUUGAUGAAGCUGUUAGGUUGCAGUAUUUUAUAACCUAACUAUCCCUUGUGAUACAUGACUACUUAAAAGUCAAAAUGGCUCAACUGCCUAAACCAACCCCCACAAGGUGUGCACUACACAAGGUUUACACAAGGUUCAACGCCACGCAAAAUUUUGCAAGAACCCAGUUCAGCUUCAGCAGCGACUCAUGCGCCGCGGGAAGGCUCAGCAGCGACUCAUGCGCCGCGGGAAGGCACACAGCAGCCGCCAAGGGGAUUGUUAGACUUCAAGCUUGCCGGCAGGGUGUUCACGAGUGUGAUGUGCAUCUUCUUCCGUAGCACUCUGCAUAGAUAGUCUCAAGAUGCAUAUACCUCUUUAUUUUGUUUUGCUUUCUGAACUUCGUGAAGUACUCACAAGCCCACCAUAUUUUACCUUCUGUAAUUCAUUCACGUUUUCUUUUAUACAGUAGGACAAACUUCCACGAUAUAAGAUAUAUUUGAUGUGAUUUUAACAAUCUAGCUGUAACGUGUACAAUCAGGUUGUAUAAUAUUAAUUAUGUCCGGCAAUGAUUUACAUA